UUCAUCUUGUUGGAAUCAUUUUGCAUGAAUCCGUACUCUCAAGUAAGUAAAUGUCAUUCCCAGCAGACAUCGAGUUGUUCAUCAAGGCUUAAUAAAUCCCGAAAUCAGGUUCUUUGCACACAAAUAGCUACCGAAAUUAGCAGGAAUAGAAUUUAGAAGAAAAUGCAGCCAAAUGAAAGCUUAAUUCUACACAUUAGAGUUCUUGGUACCAAUUUAACAAACAACAGCAAAUCCAACCCAAAUGAUGCUUGAUACCCAAAAAAAAAACAAGUGAAAAGAAACAAGCUGUAGUUUCCAACAGAUCUCUCUUUUAUCUUUUUUUAGAAAUAUCAAACUCAAUUAACAAUUUUAUUCUAGUUGAGUUUACAUGCAUUUAUUUCGCUGAAUUAAAUCAAACAAGUUCGUUCCAAUAGCAAUAACAGAUGAAAUUGAAAAUAACCGUAGCUUCAAGUAUGUAACUGAUGAGCUAGAGCAUAACUACUUCCAUAUCAAGGCAAUCCAAACAUAAAUUCUUUUUAAAUAAAUACAUACCUAAUUGCACGAUGAUUUAAACAUAAGCCAAACAAAGGCAAAGAAAACGACUGGUUGGAGCUGUGCAACGAUGAACAACAGAUCGCAACUUCAACUUCCAAAUUCGACACCAAACUCGGACACCCAGAAAUGGUAGAGAUUGAAUUUUGAAAUCAGUUUUUCUUUGAUAUUCUUUCAGAAAUUUCAGCUAUUCUUUGUUUGUCAAACUUUGUGAUUUUUCAGAUCUUCACUCGGAAGUUUUAGCUUUGUUUCAGCUGUUUAUGUUCAAAUCACGAGUGAGUGAGUCUCCGUCUCCUGCACUCAAUCAACGCCUUAAUAAUUGAUAAUUGAAACAAUAUAAUUUCUAUUUUCUUAAAAC
rnacentral:lncRNA from 1 species